AAAAAUUCCAAGGAGGACAAAGAAUUUCACAGCUAUGAGUACUUGUAGAACAGGUAGAAGUGAAACGUGAGAAAGAACGUGAAAAGGAAUAAUAAUGAAUAGCAAACAAUGAAACCCAUUGUCAAGAACAGUGGAAGCAAGGGGGCUAAAGGGGUUAUAGACCCCCCCAUUAUUUUCCAAAAUGUACUUAAAAGCAUACAAAACUUUUUGGCAUGUUUAUCCCCUCUAUACGUUUUAGCUCCUUAAUCCGAAAUAUGCUCCGCGUUCCUUGCCCAUGGUGAAUCAAUUAAAGGAUAAUCGCCCCUCCUGAAAUUAACUUUGAUUAAGUUAAAUCGAGUCAUCCCCAUUUAUGCAUACUGGGAAGGAAAAAUAGUUAAGGAUGGAAAAUAAAACGGCCCAACUCGCUCUUGAUGAUGUGGGAGCGUUGCUUCACGGCUGAUUUGAUAUCUAUGGGAAUUUUACCUCUGAGGGAGCAUUUCUUGCCUUAAAACUUGUAUCUUAACACAGGGUUGUCGUUCUAAAAAUGUGGAAUCCUUCAGACUAGUCAAUCACUCUAAAAAGCUAAUAGAACUUGCUAAAUCAUGAAAAAUCAAUGGAAAAAUAAAGGGAUAAUUCCCUUUCCAAGUAAGGAAUUCACCAACCCAUUCAUAUACUAGCUUGUUAAGGGGGCUUACCCCCCAAAGCUUUCUGAAUUUCAACAAGGGGGCUGAGCCUCUCUAAUCCCUUUCAGGGCACAAUUUUUGUAGCUUCUAUCCCAGUCUAUAAAACUUAUAAUAGAUCUGCAUUUAUUUAGGAACUCACAACUGCCACCAAUGCCCCAUUUGUUCGUAGCCUUCGCUUGAUUACGAGGCAACUGGCCUAAUUUCUCCAGCGAGAGGAUCAUUCGUAAACAGUGCACAGCGUAUCAGAAACUUUUUGGGGUUUGAAACAUGUCUCUUGUCCCUGUUUUCUUAAUUACAGUAAGAAACAGUUUGAGAAUACUUGGAAAAGCAAUUAUUGUUGGUGGUGCAGUAUUUUUUAGUUACGAUCAAGGAAUAUGGAGUACACAAACCGAUCACAACGAAAAACAUGUUAAACUUGUCAAGAAACACGCGGAAGAUAAUCUUUUAGAUCAUAUUCCAUUUCACAAGCUUCCAACAGCUGAUGAUAUAAAAGUCUCCUGGAAUGACGGUAUGCACAGAAUAUUUACAACACUAGACGAAGCACCUAAGCAUGUUAUCAAUCUGACAGAAGAGGUAAAGAAAUUUAUAAAGACUCCACCUAAAGAUGAAUGAUUAUGAAAGAAUACAUUUUUAGUAUUUCCUUCUGAAAUUGUAUUCUUGAAGAUUUGGUGCUUGUCAAACUGGCUUUUGUAAAAAUAAUUAAAAUAGUUUCAGCAGAGGGUAAUUUUUACAUACAGUUUAAAAAAAUGCAACUAACAAUUAUUUUGAGCCGGUCAUAUAACAAUUUUCAAUUAAAUUAGAUCUUCCUCAUAAACCCCAAACAAAAGCUUUCCUGUUGUUAACAACUUUUGAGGGACUGACUAAAUUUGACAGCUGUGGAUGUCAAAUUGUCCUUUCUUGGACAGAUUCAGAAACUGUUGCUUUUUUUUAAGUAUUAGUAAGGUUAGCUUCAGGGACUAAGUCUGAAAAAACAUCUUUGUUUUGCCAUGUCCCUGUAAGCAUACAAAAUUUUGCAUUGCCAAUAGGUUCUGAUUGGUCAAUAGCUUAUGUUGGACUUUCAUGCCAUCCAUCUUGAAAGUUAUCACAGAGGAAGAAUCUACCAUUUUUUUAGCACGAGUCACUAAAUAUUUGCAUCCCUUGGUAUAUUUCAAUUUUCUUGGUAUUUCUACUUUUUAUUUUCAUACUUUUCAAUUAAAUAUGUCUUAAUUGUCUGAGUUACAAGUUAUGUUUUGUUCAAUGAUCCAUAAAUAACUUAAAAUGAUUGUUCUGUUACAUGAUAACCUAUGUAUUGUUUGUUUUAUUUCUUAAACAGAAUUUGUAAUUUGUUUAGUUGUAAAAUUCUAUUUGACAUACAAUUUGCUUGAGGAUUAUUUUUCAAUCAAAUAUGUUGGAAAAUUCACAA